GCCCCCGUGGUGUAGUCCGGUUAAGCAUCCAGGCCUCUCGAGCCUGAGACCCGGGUUCAAAACCCUGUGAAAAUCCCGGCGGGGGCG
rnacentral:tRNA from 1 species